rnacentral:rRNA from 1 species
AGGAUCAACGCUGGCGGCGUGCAUGAGACAUGCAAGUCGAACGGACGAUCAAAGCUUGCUUUGAUCGUUAGUGGCGGACGGCUGAGUAACGCGUGGGUGACCUGCCCCGAAGUGGGGAAUAACUGCCCGAAAGGGUGGCUAAUACCGCAUGUGGUGGUGCGUUCAAUCGCACCAGUAAAGCCGCAAGGCGCUUCGGGAGGGGCCUGCGUCCGAUUAGCUCGUUGGCGAGGUAACGGCUCACCAAGGCGACGAUCGGUAGGUGGUCUGAGAGGACGAUCACCCAGACUGGGACUGAGACACGGCCCAGACUCCUACGGGAGGCAGCAGUCGGGAAUUUUGCGCAAUGGACGAAAGUCUGACGCAGCAACGCCGCGUGAGGGAUGGAAGGCCUUCGGUUGUAAACCUCUUUUCUCAGGAAGAUAAUGACGUACUGAGAAUAAGCCACGGCAACUACGUGCCAGCAGCCGAC